AGCAGUCGCCACGGUAAUACGUAGGGUGCGAGCGUUAAUCGGAAUUACUGGGCGUAAAGCGUGCGCAGGCGGUUCGUUAAGACAGAUGUGAAAUCCCCGGGCUUAACCUGGGAACUGCAUUUGUGACUGGCGAGCUAGAGUAUGGCAGAGGGGGGUAGAAUUCCACGUGUAGCAGUGAAAUGCGUAGAGAUGUGGAGGAAUACCGAUGGCGAAGGCAGCCCCCUGGGCCAAUACUGACGCUCAUGCACGAAAGCGUGGGGAGCAAACAGGAUUAGAUACCCGUGUAGUCCCUGUCUCUUAUAC
rnacentral:rRNA from 1 species